rnacentral:rRNA from 1 species
GACUACGCUGGCGGCGUGCCUAACACAUGCAAGUCGAACGAGUUGUAUAUAGUAGCAAUAUUGUAUACGGCAAGUGGCGAACGGGUGAGUAACACGUAGAUAAUCUGCCUUUCAGACGGGGACAACUCAGGGAAACUUGUGCUAAUACCCGAUGAGACUACGAGGGGGGACUUUCGUAGCCAAAGGUGGGGGCAACCUCACGCUGAAAGAUGAGUCUGCGUCCUAUCAGCUGGUUGGUGGGGUAAAAGCCUACCAAGGCGAAGACGGGUAGCCGGCCUGAGAGGGUGAACGGCCACACUGGGACUGAGACACGGCCCAGACUCCUACGGGAGGCAGCAGUGAGGAAUUUUCCGCAAUGGGCGCAAGCCUGACGGAGCGACGCCGCGUGAGGGAUGACGGCCUUCGGGUUGUAAACCUCUUUUAUUAGGGAAAAAGACAUUUGUGCUAAUACCACGGACGUUUGAUUGUACCUGUUGAAUAAGCCCCGGCUAACUACGUG